rnacentral:rRNA from 1 species
AGAUGGUCGGUUUAACAGAGAUCGCACGUGACCUGGCAUAUCAUAUCGGAGGAUCCGAGGUGAAGUGCCCUCUCAAGACCUAGAGGAACGCUCCUACCCGGAAGGCGCGGGUACCCCUGCCGGUGGCCCACGAAACUCUGUCUCAUCGUUGAAUUCUGAACCUAUAACUAAAUAAGUUAAAACUUUCAACAACGGAUCUCUUGGUUCUGGCAUCGAUGAAGAACGCAGCGAAAUGCGAUAAGUAAUGUGAAUUGCAGAAUUCAGUGAAUCAUCGAAUCUUUGAACGCACAUUGCGCCCAUUAGUAUUCUAGUGGGCAUGCCUGUUCGAGCGUCAUUUCAACCCUUAAGCCCUUGUUGCUUAGCGUUGGGAGCCUACGGCACCGUAGCUCCCCAAAGUCAGUGGCGGAGCCGGCUCACACUCUAGACGUAGUAAUUUCUCACCUCGCCUAUAGUUGGACCGGUCCCCUGCCGUAAAACGCCCCAGUAUUUAAAAGGUUGACCUCGAAUCAGGUAGGAAUACCCGCUGAACUUAAGCAUAUCAAUAAGCGGAGGAA